rnacentral:lncRNA from 1 species
UGGUACUUAAUCUAAAACUAUCCUAUCAGGAGUAUCUAGAAUUAAGACACUGAGUGGGAAGAGAGAUACAAAUAUGUCCAUAGAAAUAUGGAAGGUUUUAAGCCAGAAAAUCCUUAAAUGAAGGUCUGUAGCAGUAUCUCUCCAGAUAUUUAAAAAUACAAUGAUCACCAAAAUAUGCUAUAAAUGUUUAAAAUGGACUCCUAUCGAAAGUUCAGAGGUUAAAGAUGAUGUUGUUUAUGGUACUCCUAGAAAUUGAUUCUUCUUUAUUUUUUCUUUUCGUUGAGUUUAAUUGCCACUAGAAUUAUUUUCAAGUUAAGAAGAUAAGAGGAUUGACUUUUUAAACUUCAAAAUGAACUUCCCUGCUGUGACUGACUAUAUUCCCCAGUAUGGAGAAUUAUGAGGAACCUGUUGAACAGAAAAGUCUCUGACCAUAAUCAAGGUCACACAGUCAGAAGGCAUCCCAGCAGACACUCCACACUAGCCAAUGUGGAUUCAGAGACUGCACCCUUGAUUACUGUGUUGUUUGAUGAUACUAGUGUUUAAAAACAUCUGAGGAAGAUAGAAAACAUUUUAUCUUUCAAGAUAAAAAAAGAAAAGCUCUUUGCCAACAGAAAACAUAAUAUGCGGACUCUAUGGCUAUUGUUUCUGAAAAAUAUAAGAGAUGAUUACAUCACAUUGUGUAUUCUGUAGGAAAAACACUGUAAUGCUUAUAUGGCUAAUAAUGGAAUGAUCUAAGUCAAUAUAUUGUGCAGUUUUGAGUGACAGAAGAAUUACACCAUUAUUCUUUGUAUUUUGGUUUCUGCACUAAGUUAGUCAUGUUCACUGUUUCAUCAUCAAUUAUCAUUCACUCAUUUUAUAAAAUUUUAGCAUCUGCA